rnacentral:rRNA from 1 species
AUUGAACGCUGGCGGCAGGCCUAACACAUGCAAGUCGAGCGGAUGAAGGGAGCUUGCUCCUGGAUUCAGCGGCGGACGGGUGAGUAAUGCCUAGGAAUCUGCCUGGUAGUGGGGGAUAACGUCCGGAAACGGGCGCUAAUACCGCAUACGUCCUGAGGGAGAAAGUAGGGGAUCUUCGGACCUCACGCUAUCAGAUGAGCCUAGGUCGGAUUAGAUAGUUGGUGGGGUAAAGGCCUACCAAGGCGACGAUCCGUAACUGGACUGAGAGGAUGAGCAGUCACACUGGAACUGAGACACGGUCCAGACUCCUACGGGAGGGAGCAGUGGGGAAUAUUGGACCAUGGGCGAAAGCCUGAUCCAGCCAUGCCGCGUGUGUGAAGAAGGUCUUCGGAUUGUAAAGCACUUUAAGUUGGGAGGAAGGGCAGUAAGUUAAUACCUUGCUGUUUUGACGUUACCAACAGAAUAAGCACCGGCUAACUUCGUG